GGGGGACAACAGUUGGAAACGACUGCUAAUACCGCAUACGCCCUACGGGGGAAAGCAGGGGAUCUUCGGACCUUGCGCUAUUAGAUGAGCCUGCGUCGGAUUAGCUAGUUGGUGGGGUAAUGGCCUACCAAGGCAACGAUCCGUAGCUGGUUUGAGAGGAUGAUCAGCCACACUGGGAAUGAGACACGGCCCAGACUCCUACGGGAGGCAGCAGUGGGGAAUAUUGCACAAUGGGCGAAAGCCUGAUGCAGCCAUGCCGCGUGUGUGAAGAAGGCUCUAGGGUUGUAAAGCACUUUCAUUAGUGAGGAAAGGUUGUAAAUUAAUACGUUGCAACUGUGACGUUAGCUAUAUCAGAAGCGCCGGCUAACUCCAUGACAGCAGCCGCGGUAAUACGGAGGGUGCAAGCGUUAAUCGGAAUUACUGGGCGUAAAGCGCGCGUAGGUGGUUUGUUAAGCGGAAUGUGAAAGCCCCGGGCUUAACCUGGGAACUGCAUUGCGAACUGGCAAA
rnacentral:rRNA from 1 species